UCUAUUGCAAAGCUUGUAAGCAUUUAACAAUACAUAAGCUAAAAGAAUAAGUAAGCAAGAAUGUAUGCAUGCAUGAAUAUGAUCAAUCCAUAAUACUUUAGAAUACCUAACCAAAUAUUAAAGAAAUCCUUUUACAACAAAACAGGCGAUUGAUCUAAGAAUGCUCAAUUUCAUUGAUAUAAGAAUUACAAUACUUACUAUAAUAUUGAAU
rnacentral:sRNA from 1 species